rnacentral:rRNA from 1 species
GACGAACGCUGGCGGCGUGCUUAACACAUGCAAGUCGAACGGAAAGGCCCUGCUUGCAGGGUACUCGAGUGGCGAACGGGUGAGUAACACGUGGGUGAUCUGCCCUGCACUUCGGGAUAAGCCUGGGAAACUGGGUCUAAUACCGGAUAGGAGCCAUUUUUAGUGUGAUGGUUGGAAAGUUUUUUCGGUGUAGGAUGAGCUCGCGGCCUAUCAGCUUGUUGGUGGGGUAAUGGCCUACCAAGGCGGCGACGGGUAGCCGGCCUGAGAGGGUGGCCGGCCACAUUGGGACUGAGAUACGGCCCAGACUCCUACGGGAGGCAGCAGUGGGGAAUAUUGCACAAUGGGCGCAAGCCUGAUGCAGCGACGCCGCGUGGGGGAUGACGGCCUUCGGGUUGUAAACUCCUUUCGCUAGGGACGAAGCUUUUUGUGACGGUACCUAGAUAAGAAGCACCGGCUAACUACGUG